rnacentral:lncRNA from 1 species
GUAAAAUAUAUGUACGUUUUUUUUUAAGUAUGUGCACUUAGAGUAACUUCUGGAGCUUGACUGACAUCUGUCAUAUGCUCCUGUAAAUGGUCCUGUACACUAUUUUUCAUGCUUAUUUUGACAAGCAGCUAUGGUGGUGUGUCUCAGAUGGACUCUGAAUAUCUUGGUAGUCGUCACAAAUAUUUAACAUCGAGCUUUAUGGAAAAUUACCAGCUAGUAAAGUACACACUGCGCAGUCAUGGUCAUUCUUGCAAUCAGGGCAUGCAGAAACAGCUUCCGUGUUAUAAAGGAGGAGGGACAACCGUGUUUCUCUUGUAAUGGUUUUUUUGCAGUUCCCUUGUAAAAUGAAUUGAAUUUUUAUUGACAUGACAGCAUGUGCUAAGUUACUUUUAGUUUUUGUUUUGUUUACUGUAUCAGUAAGCUGCUUUUGCUUCUGUCAAUCUAUUUUUUUUUUAAUUAAAAGUUCAUAAUUAGUACCAGGCAUGAUGGUGAACUCUUUUAAUCCCAGCAUUCAGGAGGAGGCAGAGGCAGGCGGUUCUCUGUGUUGGAACGCAGUCUGGUUUACACAGUGUAUUCCAGGACAGCCAAAGGUACC